UACGUAGGGUGCAAGCGUUUGUCCGGAAUUAUUGGGCGUAAAGAGCUCGUAGGCGGUCUGUCGCGUCUGCUGUGAAAACCUAGGGCUUAACUCUGGGCGUGCAGUGGGUACGGGCAGGCUAGAGUGCGGUAGGGGGAGACUGGAAUUCCUGGUGUAGCGGUGGAAUGCGCAGAUAUCAGGAGGAACACCGGUGGCGAAGGCGGGUCUCUGGGCCGUUACUGACGCUGAGGAGCGAAAGCGUGGGGAGCGAACAGG
rnacentral:rRNA from 1 species